rnacentral:rRNA from 1 species
GGAGUUUGGACCGUGUCUCAGUUCCAAUGUGGGGGACCUUCCUCUCAGAACCCCUACUGAUCGUCGGCUAGGUGGGCCGUUGCCCCGCCUACUACCUAAUCAGACGCAUCCCCAUCCUAUAGCGGUGAACCUUUGGUGUUCGUCAGAUGUCAUCAAAACACAACAUAGAGCAUUAAUCCGACUUUCGCCGGGCUAUUCUCUACUAUAGGGAAGGUUGGAUACGCGUUACUCACCCGUGCGCCGGUCGCCAGCAACAAUAGCAAGCUAUCGUCCUGCUGCCCCUCGACUUGCAUGUGUUAAGCCUGUAGCUAGCGUUCAUC